rnacentral:rRNA from 1 species
UAAGGAGGGUGCGAGCGUUGUCCGGAAUCACUGGGCGUAAAGGGCGCGUAGGCGGCGCGGUAAGUCGGAUGUGAAAUCCCGGGGCUCAACUCCGGGGCUGCAUCCGAGACUGUCGUGCUCGAGCGUGGUAGAGGCGAGUGGAAUUCCCGGUGUAGCGGUGGAAUGCGUAGAGAUCGGGAAGAACACCAGUGGCGAAGGCGGCUCGCUGGGCCAUUGCUGACGCUGAGGCGCGAAAGCGUGGGGAGCAAACAGG